UACGGGGGGGGGCAAGCGUUGUUCGGAAUUACUGGGCGUAAAGGGCUCGUAGGCGGCCAACUAAGUCAGACGUGAAAUCCCUCGGCUUAACCGGGGAACUGCGUCUGAUACUGGAUGGCUUGAGGUUGGGAGAGGGAUGCGGAAUUCCAGGUGUAGCGGUGAAAUGCGUAGAUAUCUGGAGGAACACCGGUGGCGAAGGCGGCAUCCUGGACCAAUUCUGACGCUGAGGAGCGAAAGCCAGGGGAGCAAACGGG
rnacentral:rRNA from 1 species